AUUGAACGCUGGCGGCAGGCUUAACACAUGCAAGUCGAGCGGGGUGAUGUAGCUUGCUACAUUACCUAGCGGCGGACGGGUGAGUAAUGCUUAGGAAUCUGCCUAUUAGUGGGGGACAACAUUCCGAAAGGAAUGCUAAUACCGCAUACGCCCUACGGGGGAAAGCAGGGGAUCUUCGGACCUUGCGCUAAUAGAUGAGCCUAAGUCAGAUUAGCUAGUUGGGGGGGUAAAGGCCUACCAAGGCGACGAUCUGUAGCGGGUCUGAGAGGAUGAUCCGCAACACUGGGACUGAGACACGGCCCAGACUCCUACGGGAGGCAGCAGUGGGGAAUAUUGGACAAUGGGCGAAAGCCUGAUCCAGCCAUGCCGCGUGUGUGAAGAAGGCCUUUUGGUUGUAAAGCACUUUAAGCGAGGAGGAGGCUACCGAGAUUAAUACUCUUGGAUAGUGGACGUUACUCGCAGAAUAAGCACCGGCUAACUCUGUGCCAGCCGCCGCCGUAACAC
rnacentral:rRNA from 1 species